CCUACGGGGCGCAGCAGUCGAGAAUCAUUCACAAUGGGGGAAACCCUGAUGGUGCGACGCCGCGUGGGGGAAUGAAGGUCUUCGGAUUGUAAACCCCUGUCAUGUGGGAGCAAAUUAAAAAGAUAGUACCACAAGAGGAAGAGACGGCUAACUCUGUGCCAGCAGCCGCGGUAAUACAGAGGUCUCAAGCGUUGUUCGGAAUCACUGGGUGUAAAGGGUGCGUAGGCGGCACGCCAAGUCAGUUGUGAAACCCGUAGGCUCAACCUACGGCUUGCAAU
rnacentral:rRNA from 1 species